rnacentral:rRNA from 1 species
CCUACGGGUGGCAGCAGUGAGGACUAUUGGUCAAUGGACGAGAGUCUGAACCAGCCAAGUAGCGUGAAGGAUGACUGCCCUAUGGGUUGUAAACUUCUUUUAUAUGGGAAUAAAACGUUCCACGUGUGGGAUUUUGUAUGUACCAUAUGAAUAAGGAUCGGCUAACUCCGUGCCAGCAGCCGCGGGAAUACGGAGGAUCCGAGCGUUAUCCGGAUUUAUUGGGUUUAAAGGGAGCGUAGGGGGAUUGUUAAGUCAGUUGUGAAAGUUUGCGGCUCAACCGUAAAAUUGCAGUUGAAACUGGCAGUCUUGAGUACAGUAGAGGUGGGCGGAAUUCGUGGUGUAGCGGUGAAAUGCUUAGAUAUCACGAAGAACUCCGAUUGCGAAGGCAGUUCACUGGACUGCAACUGACACUGAGGCUCGAAAGUGUGGGUAUCAAACAGGAUUAGAUACCCCUGUAGUC